AGCCCCGUCAUCUAGCGGUCAAGAUAUCUUAUUUUAGGAUAAAUAUCGCCAAAAGGAUAUCAGCCUUUGGAGCUGGUUACAUCGGUUCGAAUCCGAUCGGGGCUA
rnacentral:tRNA from 1 species